AUUGAACGCUGGCGGCAUGCCUUACACAUGCAAGUCGAACGGCAGCACGGGUGCUUGCACCUGGUGGCGAGUGGCGAACGGGUGAGUAAUACAUCGGAACGUACCUUAUCGUGGGGGAUAACGCAGCGAAAGUUGCGCUAAUACCGCAUACGCCCUGAGGGGGAAAGCGGGGGACCGUAAGGCCUCGCGCGAUUAGAGCGGCCGAUGUCUGAUUAGCUUGUUGGUGAGGUAAAAGCUCACCAAGGCGAUGAUCAGUAGCUGGUCUGAGAGGAGGAUCAGCCACACUGGGACUGGGAAACGGCCCAGACUCCUACGGGAGGCAGCAGUGGGGAAUUUUGGACAAUGGGGGCAACCCUGAUCCAGCAAUGCCGCGUGAGUGAAGAAGGCCUUCGGGUUGUAAAGCUCUUUUGUCAGGGAAGAAACAGCAGCUCUAACACAGUCUGCGAAUGACGGUACCUGAAGAAUAAGCACCGGCUAACUACGUGCCAGCAGCCGCCGUAA
rnacentral:rRNA from 1 species